AUUGAACGCUGGCGGCAUGCUUUACACAUGCAAGUCGAACGGUAACAGGCCUUCGGGUGCUGACGAGUGGCGAACGGGUGAGUAAUGCAUCGGAACGUGCCCAAUCGUGGGGGAUAACGUAGCGAAAGUUACGCUAAUACCGCAUAAGCCCUGAGGGGGAAAGCAGGGGAUCGCAAGACCUUGCGCGAAUAGAGCGGCCGAUGUCAGAUUAGCUAGUUGGUGGGGUAAAGGCCUACCAAGGCGACGAUCUGUAGCGGGUCUGAGAGGAUGAUCCGCCACACUGGGACUGAGACACGGCCCAGACUCCUACGGGAGGCAGCAGUGGGGAAUUUUGGACAAUGGGCGCAAGCCUGAUCCAGCCAUGCCGCGUGCGGGACGAAGGCC
rnacentral:rRNA from 1 species